UUUAGAGUUAAAGGAUGGGGUUUAGGAUUUAGGGUUUAGGGUUUAGGGUUUAGAGUUUAGAGUUUAGGGUUUAGGGUUUAGAUUUUAGGGUUUAGGGUUUAGGGUUUAGAGUUUAGGGUUUAGGGUUUAGGGUUUAGAAAUGAGGUUUUAGGGAUAAGAUUUCAAAUUUUGAAAAAUAAAAAAAAUUAAAAUUUUCAAA
rnacentral:lncRNA from 1 species